UUUCCUCUCGCCAAUCAAUCGUUUAGGCAUGACCUAGCAAUUAUUGAUGCCCCUGUGGAUUAUCUAGCUUUUUAAGAGGGAUCAAGCAUUUCCCAUUUUCUUUAAUAUCCAUCUGAGAGGCGCCAUAAAUUGCUGAAACUUGUCCUGCAUAGACAAGUGAAACAGUAUAUAUUUUGCCUAAGAGGAAUCUAAUAUUCUAAAAGAACCGCCUCCAUGAAUCCCGUGAACUGGCUGACCUCUCCUUUUCGGCUAAGACGAUCGUACCAGUAACCAUCAGUUUUCAGCAACCCGUUCAGACUAGAAGCCAAAAAAUGGGAAUUAGAACGAAUAUUGCAUAUGUCUUCGGAGGGUCGCAUACCUAACUUUACUUAUAAAUGGCUUAUAAAGAAACCUUCCCAACCUAAACGCUGAGACUUGACUGAUCGUGAAAGCCCAGUCAGAUGGCAGUAUGGUAUCUCUCAGCGAUCGCUUCCAACCGGGCACGACACUACGUUAGUAACGUCUAAUUCAAGUUAGUAGCUUGGGAAUUUGACAACUGUGCAUAGAAGAGGUACCUAUGGAUUGCGAGAUUCGUGGAAUACAUUUCACGACCUUAGCACGCGAAUUCAAAAGAAGCUUGGCUGAUUCCAACGUCAUAAGUCUUCGUUUAAUCGAAAUAACCGAUACUCCA